GACGAACGCUGGCGGCGUGCUUAACACAUGCAAGUGGAGCGACGAAACUGACUUCGGUCAGUGGCAAAGCCGCGAACGGGUGAGUAACACGUGGGUAACGUGCCCCAAUGACUGGGACAACCCGGGGAAACCCGGGCUAAUACCGGAUGUGGUCACCUCACAUCAGUGAGAUGACUAAAGGUAGCUUCGGCUUCCGCAUUGGGAUCGGCCCGCGGCGCAUUAGCUUGUUGGUGGGGUAAAGGCCUACCAAGGCUACGAUGCGUAGCUGGUCUGAGAGGACGAUCAGCCACACUGGGACUGAGACACGGCCCAGACUCCUACGGGAGGCAGCAGUGGGGAAUCUUGCGCAAUGCGCGAAAGCGUGACGCAGCAACGCCGCGUGGGGAAGAAGGCCUUCGGGUUGUAAACCCCUUUCAGGAGGGACGAAGCUCGGCUGGUGAAUAGCCAGUCCGAGUGACGGUACCUCCACAAGAAGCCCCGGCUAACUACGUGCCAGCCGCCGCCGUAACAC
rnacentral:rRNA from 1 species